UACAGAGGUCUCAAGCGUUGUUCGGAUUCAUUGGGCGUAAAGGGUGUGUAGGUGGCGCGCUAAGUCGGGGUGUGAAAUUUCGGAGCUUAACUCCGAAACUGCAUUCGAUACUGGCGUGCUUGAGGACUGGAGAGGAGACUGGAAUUCAUGGUGUAGCAGUGAAAUGCGUAGAGAUCAUGAGGAAGACCAGUGGCGAAAGGCGGGUCGUCUGGACAGUUCCUGACACUGAGACACGAAGGCCAGGGGAGCAAACGGGG
rnacentral:rRNA from 1 species